UACGUAGGGGGCAAGCGUUGUCCGGAUUUAUUGGGCGUAAAGAGCGUGUAGGCGGCCAGACAGGUCCGUUGUGAAAACUCGAGGCUCAACCUCGAGAUGUCGAUGGAAACCGUCUGGCUAGAGUCCGGAAGAGGAGUGUGGAAUUCCUGGUGUAGCGGUGAAAUGCGCAGAUAUCAGGAGGAACACCGAUGGCGAAGGCAGGUCUCUGGGCCGAUACUGACGCUGAGGAGCGAAAGCGUGGGGAGCGAACAGG
rnacentral:rRNA from 1 species